rnacentral:lncRNA from 1 species
GGGAGAGAGAGGGAUAGCUAUAUAAAGUGUUGUGACAAUUGCACUUAAGCCCCUCCACUUUCUUCACAGUGCACUACCCAGACUGGGCGAUUUUCGCUGUCGGGGACCGGUCUCCCCGAACAGGGACCGGUUCCCGAACGAUGGGUUUCCAGGACUUAGCCAAAUUUUCGGGUUUUUGGCUGGCUGCGCAGCGAGGGACCGGUCUCUCCUUCAGGGACCGGUCUCC